CCUACGGGGGGCAGCAGUGGGGAAUAUUGGACAAUGGGCGAAAGCCUGAUCCAGCCAUGCCGCGUGUGUGAAGAAGGCCUUCGGGUUGUAAAGCACUUUCAGUGGGGAAGAAAGCCUUGGGGCUAAUACCCUCGAGGAAGGACAUCACCCACAGAAGAAGCACCGGCUAACUCCGUGCCAGCAGCCGCGGUAAUACGGAGGGUGCGAGCGUUAAUCGGAAUUACUGGGCGUAAAGCGCGCGUAGGCGGUCUGAUAAGCCGGUUGUGAAAGCCCCGGGCUCAACCUGGGAACGGCAUCCGGAACUGGCAGGCUAGAGUGCAGGAGAGGAGGGUAGAAUUCCCGGUGUAGCGGUGAAAUGCGUAGAGAUCGGGAGGAAUACCAGUGGCGAAGGCGGCCUUCUGGACUGAAACUGACGCUGAGGUGCGAAAGCGUGGGUAGCAAACAGGAUUAGAUACCCGAGUAGUC
rnacentral:rRNA from 1 species